GACGAACGCUAGCGGCGUGCUUAACACAUGCAAGUCGAGCGGUAAGGCCCUUUCGGGGUACGACGAGCGGCGAACGGGUGAGUAACACGUGGGUGACCUCGCCCUCCAGCGUCUGGGAGUAAGCCGUGGGAAACGUGGGUCUAAUACUGGAUAUGACUCCACGGUGCAUGUCGGUGGGGUGGAAAGCCUUGUGCGGCUGAGGAUGGGCCCGCGGCCUAUC
rnacentral:rRNA from 1 species